UUUUAAAUUUCAACUUCUGCAACCUUUCCAGCAAACUAAGCUCCCACGAAAGAGCUUACAUGUUCAUAAUCAGCUGGCUCACGAGCCACAUUCAACGAGUCACAUUCAACCAGGUACUUAGUCACGAGACACUGAUGGCGGUUGCAGAUUCCAAGUCUAGAACUUCAGAAGUUUACCUUGUUUAGCAAGUUAGCUAGCUAACUUUAACCAUCAGUCAAGAGUUAUCUAACAAGCAAGCAAAAUCAGCAAAAAUGCAUUACAGUCUCUCCAACAAGCCUGAAACAGUGUAAACAAGGACAAGGGCUAACUGAAGCCUUGGACCGUGCAAUGGAGGAUAUUACAGCACUAGAGAUCACUACACCCUCUUCUCUUGAUAAGUCCAGCAAGGACUCACUCAGUCACUCACAAACAAAACUCCAAUUUGAGGAACCACUUGUCAGGCAAGAGGAGUCAAGGCAUAAAAGGGAGCGCUUUGCACUGUCAAGCAAAUCAGAAGCUCCAUUCCCUAAAGAUCUACUUGAAGUUUUAGGGACUUCAGAUAUCCAGACUCUGGAGGAUCUAGUGGCUAAACUGGAGUUUGAGAAUGAGCUGCACCGUGUGUGUGGGGAUCAGGAUGUAGAAGAAGAGUCUCUAUCACCAGAGGGACACAGUUCAGACAGCUUGGUAGAGGACAGAAGCAGCAGCAAUGGAGAUGUGUCCAGUUCAGAGGAGGACCACUGCAUGUUAGAGAUUGUGUUGCAGAUGGAACAGGAGUAUGAUCUUUCUGUUUAUUACAAUGACUUCUGUCCUCAAUGACAAGACCCUCAUUCAGCCAGUUAUCUGUACACACAGCAUCGUGACAUAGGAUUCUGUUGAUAACAACUCCUCAGGAAAGACCUGUCUGAAAAUUAGAUUACAUCUGGGCUCACUUUACAGUAAAUAAAACAAUCCUAGUAGUGAAUUGUUCAAUUGAGUGACUGACAACAUGAUUGCAGUUUUUAUGUAUCCAUGUCUACUUUAUUUUGUCAAGGGACAUCUAGGCUUUUUUAUUUAAUUGGUUCAAGUUACUGUAGUUUCUGUUGUAGUUUUUUAUACACCAUAAAUUCCGUUUAUAAUAUUUAUAACCAAUACUAAAACUAUUUGAUUGUAACAGUCUAUAGAACUUUGCUCUGUUGUAAAAACUUAACUUUGAUUGUAUGUUAAUAUCAACCAUCAACCUGUUAUUACUCCUCAAAUAACUCCAUUACUGUAGAAUUACAUAAUGUUAAAGGAAAUGAAAACCAAUAAAAUAAUGUUUUAUUACA